CCUACGGGUUGCAGCAGUGGGGAAUAUUGGACAAUGGGCGCAAGCCUGAUCCAGCCAUGCCGCGUGAGUGAUGAAGGCCUUAGGGUUGUAAAGCUCUUUUGUCCGGGACGAUAAUGACGGUACCGGAAGAAUAAGCCCCGGCUAACUUCGUGCCAGCAGCCGCGGUAAUACGGAGGGGGCUAGCGUUGCUCGGAAUCACUGGGCGUAAAGGGCGCGUAGGCGGCCAUUCAAGUCGGGGGUGAAAGCCUGUGGCUCAACCACAGAAUUGCCUUCGAUACUGUUUGGCUUGAGUAUGGUAGAGGUCGGUGGAACUGCGAGUGUAGAGGUGAAAUUCGUAGAUAUUCGCAAGAACACCAGUGGCGAAGGCGGCCGACUGGACCAUUACUGACGCUGAGGCGCGAAAGCGUGGGGAGCAAACAGGAUUAGAUACCCGUGUAGUC
rnacentral:rRNA from 1 species